GAUGAAGAACGUAGCGAAAUGCGAUACUUGGUGUGAAUUGCAGAAUCCCGUGAACCAUCGAGUCUUUGAACGCAAGUUGCGCCCGAAGCCAUUAGGCCGAGGGCACGCCUGCCUGGGCGUCACACGUCGUUGCCCCCCCAUCUACUCCUUCGGGAUUGCGGGGGGCGGAUGAUGGCCUCCCGUGCGCCUCGUCGCCCGGUUGGCAUAAAUGCCAAGUCCUCGGCGACGCACGCCACGACAAUCGGUGGUUGCGAAACCUCGGUUGCCCGUCGUGUGCGGUCGUCGCGCAUCGAGGGCUCGAAAAAAUUGCCGGGCUCCGGCUCGGCUUUCAACGCGACCCCAGGUCAGGCGGGGUUACCCGCUGAAUUUAAGCAUAUCAAUAAGCGGAGGA
rnacentral:misc_RNA from 1 species